rnacentral:rRNA from 1 species
GUAAAAGUCGUAACAAGGUUUCCUUCCCAGCGAACCACGGAAGCCUUUGCAACCCUUCUAGGGAGCUCCCGCGACUGUAAAUAAGGGGCAUAUGCAGGUAGCCAUCAGGCUGCAACACAAUCGAAUUGCGGGAACGUUCUAAAGCUUAUUAGUACCAACCUUGGGAGGAAACUCCCUGGGGGCCUAUACCUAGCGGUGUGGGAUGGUUAUAAUCUAAUGAGAUGUUACAAUGGACCAUCCGCAGCGAAGCCCCUAACAGCAUCAUGCUCAUGGGGAUCGUUCACAGACUAAGUGGUUGUGGGUACAGAUUCUUCAGAGUCUUGCCUAAGAUAUAGUCGGGCUGUCAGGGAGACUUGACAGGGUGUUUCGCACCAAACCGUUCCGUAGGUGAACCUGCGGAAGGAUCAUUACAGAGUUCAUGCCCUAACGGGUAGACCUCCCACCCUUGUGUAUUAAUACUUUGUUGCUUCGGCGGGUCGUGUGGUUUACCCCGCACCUUAGGCUUUCGAGCUUAAGCGUACCCGCCAGAGGAUAUCAAAACUCUGAAUAUUAUUGUCGUCUGAGUACUAUAUAAAUAGUUAAAACUUUCAACAACGGAUCUCUUGGUUCUGGCAUCGAUGAAGAACGCAGCGAAAUGCGAUAAGUAAUGUGAAUUGCAGAAUUCAGUGAAUCAUCGAAUCUUUGAACGCACAUUGCGCCCCUUGGUAUUCCGGGGGGCAUGCCUGUUCGAGCGUCAUUUCAACCCUCAAGCUCUGCUUGGUAUUGGGCAUUUGCCAGUAAUGGCUGGUCCUAAAAUCAGUGGCGGUACCGCUGGGUCCUGAGCGUAGUAAUUUAUCUCGCUACUGGAUUCUGGUGUGUUUCCUGCCAAUAACCCAAAUUUUAUAUGGUUGACC